rnacentral:tRNA from 1 species
GCCCGGGUGGUGGAAGUGGUAGACGCCAGGGAUUUAAAAUCCCUUGAUCUUCGGAUCGUGCGGGUUCAAAUCCCGCCCUGGGCACCA